rnacentral:tRNA from 1 species
GAAGUUCUUGGCCACCUGGCCGAUGGCGACGCGGGCCGCGGUCUCGCGGGCGCUGGCGCGUUCGAGCAGCGGGCGGGCCUCG